rnacentral:rRNA from 1 species
UACGAAGGGGGCUAGCGUUGCUCAGAAUCACUGGGCGUAAAGCGCACGUAGGCGGCUUUCUAAGUCAGGGGUGAAAUCCUGGAGCUCAACUCCAGAACUGCCUUUGAUACUGGAGAGCUUGAGUCCGGGAGAGGUGAGUGGAACUCCGAGUGUAGAGGUGAAAUUCGUAGAUAUUCGGAAGAACACCAGUGGCGAAGGCGGCUCACUGGCCCGGUACUGACGCUGAGGUGCGAAAGCGUGGGGAGCAAACAGG